ACCGAAUCAUCCACUCUAGCCAUUAUAUUAUGUAUAUUGGGAAAAUCAGAGACCAAAGUAAGGAUUGGUUGAGUAUUAUUACCCAUAACCUGAGGACAAACUAUUUCAUCAGAGACAUUAUGCAAAGUCAUGUAAAAAGUGGUGCUUGAAUUCUCAAUGUGUUGUGGGGAUGUAACUACAAUCUGUUGUUCUACCUGAACCUCUUU
rnacentral:lncRNA from 1 species